rnacentral:rRNA from 1 species
GAUGAACGCUGGCGGCGUGCCUAAUACAUGCAAGUCGAGCGAACAGACGAGGAGCUUGCUCCUCUGACGUUAGCGGCGGACGGGUGAGUAACACGUGGAUAACCUACCUAUAAGACUGGGAUAACUUCGGGAAACCGGAGCUAAUACCGGAUAAUAUAUUGAACCGCAUGGUUCAAUAGUGAAAGACGGUUUUGCUGUCACUUCUAGAUGGAUCCGCGCCGCAUUAGCUAGUUGGUAAGGUAACGGCUUACCAAGGCAACGAUGCGUAGCCGACAUGAGAGGGUGAUCGGCCACACUGGAACUGAGACACGGUCCAGACUCCUACGGGAGGCAGCAGUAGGGAAUCUUCCGCAAUGGGCGAAAGCCUGACGGAGCAACGCCGCGUGAGUGAUGAAGGUCUUCGGAUCGUAAAACUCUGUUAUUAGGGAAGAACAAAUGUGUAAGUAACUAUGCACGUCUUGACGGUACCUAAUCAGAAAGCCACGGCUAACUACGUG